CAUUCUCAAAAAGAACCCUUCUUGGUCUUGCGAUCGGGAAAGGCCUCUUUUUGGACUUUGGAGGCUAUUGCUGGUCCCCCCUUGAUAGCCAGCUCCUCUUAAAUGAAUUAGUAGGGACCACUUUGCCGACCCUAGACGUGAUAAGAUGUUUCUGCGUCUUGGGUAUUCGCUCUGUCCUUUGGAAACCUGCUUCUAACCGUCUUGUCAAAAGACAGCGUUCGAGCCUUUCUCGUUGAUCGGGCAAGGCUUGACUUGAUGAA
rnacentral:misc_RNA from 1 species